GUUCGGGGGUACACGAGCGGCGGACGGGUGAGUAACGCGUGGGAAUCUACCCCAAACUGAGGGACAAGCAUUGGAAACGAUGUCUAAUACCGCAUAUGGUCUUCGGAUUAAAGCUUCGGCGGUUUGGGAAGAGCCCGCGUAAGAUUAGCUAGUUGGUGAGGUAAAGGCUCACCAAGGCGACGAUCUUUAACUGGUUUGAGAGGAUGAUCAGUCACACUGGAACUGAGACACGGUCCAGACUCCUACGGGAGGCAGCAGUUAGGAAUUUCCACAAUGGGCGAAAGCCUGAUGGAGCAAUGCCGCGUGCAGGAUGAAGGCCUUAGGGUUGUAAACUGCUCUUAUACGUGAAGAAUAUGACGGUAACGUAUGAAUAAGGAUCGGCUAACUCCGUG
rnacentral:rRNA from 1 species